UUUUGUUACGCACUUCAUUCCUAAGUAUGAUUUUACUUGUUUAUUUGAUUUUGAUAAAUGAUUAAAAUUAAGAUACAAAUUAUACCAAAAAAAAAAAAAAAAUUGUUAAAAAAAAAGGAAUUUUCUACAAACAAAAGAGUAUGAAGUGGUGAAAAAUUGUGUCUGACCCACUCCAUUUCUCCUGGCAUACUGCUGUCCAAUUCAUUACCAUACCCUUUAUGACCUUUACACUUUUUUUUUUCAUAAUUGACAGAUGAAGCAAACAAAAUACACAAAUAAUAUUUAAUCAUAAAUAUAAACCAAAAAUACAUUUUCUUAAAUGGCUACAACACCUUUAAUGUAAAGCACUUUUCCUAAUAUAUGUGAAAUGUGUUACAUAAACUUUCCCUGUGAUAAAAGAAAUAUAAAAAAAAAAUUACAAUCAAAACGUCAUUUAACAUGUACAAUAUAUUACAAUGGCUAGUAACAGACAAGUUAGAAUGAGAGUCAAACAGGCAAAAGUCAGAUAAAUGUGGAACAGCAAAUCAGAAAUACCAAGACACAGAUACAAUCAGACUCCAAUACACUCUAAACACAAUAUUUCACCAAUCUCUGUGAUACGAAACUCUAUAAGAAACACAUGAGACAAAUACAUUAAUACAAAGGUAAUGAGGUAACAAACAAAUGCGAAAUGACAAGAACGAAUUUGGCAAAUGGUACAAAGAUGGCCAAGUUUGAGAGUUUGGGCCGGUCCUUGUAUCUGGGUGAGGUGAGAAAGUGGACCUAUAGCUGCCUCCAAUGAAAAAGAACAUGCCCAUCUGUAACACAUAUGCACUCACGCAGAUACAAUAUACUGUAUACACAAGGGCAGUAUUAUGCAAAAAUAUUUAUGACAAGAAUGAACACUUAAACAGUUUAUAUGUCAUCUUCCCUGUAGGCAAUGAGGGAUCUUUAUCAAAUCAGAAAGAAGACCAGGACAAAAAGAGAUUUACAAUAAUGAAAAAAAUACUCCACAAACAUCUUUUUGAGGAAGUUGAUUUGGAGACAUUAAAGCUUUUUAGUUUGUUUACAGAUUUUUUCAUUCUAUGUGUAUUAAACUGUUUAAACUUUUUAUAAAAACAUUUUAACAUUUUGUAUUUCUCUCUAUCUUUUUCCAGAUUUAGUUUGGGCAAACAUUAUGGUUUUUACACUCACCGGGCACAGUGCAUUUAUUUUAUAUUACCUCAACAAGAUUCUGGAGAACACUAAUGGUAAGCUGGUAUCAAAUAUCAGCAAACUAAGUCGCCCUGUUUUUUCUCAAUGAAGAAAAAUUGGCAUGCUAUAAUAACAUUUACAUUUUUUCAGCCUUCACUUACUUUUAGAUUAUUUAUGGUUUUGAUUGUAUAGUACGGGUUACCAGGCAUACUAACCUGAGUUUUUAAACGUGUCAUUGAUCACAGAGCGUUCUGGAUGGAUGUUCGUCACAGUUCUUCUCCAUGUCUUGACUGCAACUGUUUCGGAGCGAUUUUCCAAAAGAGUUCCUGAUGCUGUGUACAAUACUUUGUUCAUGUUUGGGGUAGCAGGUCUGCCAGUGAUCAACUCUGUUUCUCUUGCAACAGAAUUAAUACUGCAAGUGUACAAGGGGGAGAGAACAGUGAAUGAUCUGCGUGUAUUAGUCCUGCCGUUUGAAAGCAUUAUGGCUGGUGUGUGGCUGAUUUUACAGAUCCUUGAAUACUGUGAGUUUCUGUGGUACAUUAUGCUCUUCAUGUUUGAGAGUCCUUAUUGAUAUUAACUGUCAUGUCUUCAUACAUGAAUUACAGGGAUAAGGGAAUGGAGAGAGUAAGUUUACAUCUUUUCCCAAUUUUUAACUACACAUUUUGAAGUCAACAGUAUAUGAUAACCCAGUAAUUAUAUUGUCUUAUAGAUAAUCCAUUUACUAUUUAACAACUGAUUUAUGUUUUGGUUAAUGGCUUAAAUGUUUUAACUAAUUAUCUUUCAGUGUACUGAAGGAGCUGUAUGCGCUAAGGGACUUUGUGGCAAAGUUCAUAUCAAAGGUAACUUUAUUUAAGAGGCUGAGUAAGUGUCUGAACUGCGUUUAAUUCCUACAUUUUAUUGCAUAUUCAUUGGCUAAUGAA